AGAAUCAAUGCGUGCGGGAAACAAGUUCUUAUUAGCCCCUUGUUUUGAGGAUCUACAUUGGAGCCUUAUGGUGAUUUGUGUUUCCAAUAACACAAUCUACUACUUUGACUCGGCUCGUAUAUGGCCACCAAGGAAGUUGCUAGUGAAUAACCUAUUGAAUAGGUAUAUACCGCUUUAUAUAUUUUGUUUUGUAUCAUCACCUAAGUGAUUGAGUGGCUAUGUUUCUAAAUCGUUUGUUUUUUAUUUUUUUGAAGUGUUAUGAAGAAGUUAAAUUGUCGUUCGGUUGCGGGUCCCACGUGGAAAUAUGCGAAGUGUGCGCAACAAGACAACGGCGUUGACUGUGCCCUAUACGUGAUGAGGUUUAUGCAUGACAUAGUCAAUAGGUGCACUAAAGCCCAACACAUUGAGGAGGUACUUGUUUUUACUUUUUUCCGAUUCGAUUUCGGGUAAAAGUCGUCCUAAAACUAAGUAUAAUGAUAAUUUUCUAUGAUUCCAAACAUUAGACACCUAAGA